GCCCCAUGCCAUCGAAAUUUCUCCACCGUAAAUUAUGAGGCUGUCCAGUUUUCUUUUCUCCUUUCUUCCCCUGUUUUUCUGUUACGUGAGCCAUGCUGGUGUGUGUGUGUGAUGUUGGCUUUUCUCUCCUCUGUCUCGUCACCAGUGAGGUGGGCUGCUAAAAUCCUUGCCUUUCUGUCAUUCAUCGCACCUCCUCUAUCCGUAUCCAUCGUGGUUGCUGCUGUUAGACCUUUCUCGAGCAGCAACAUCGUUGGCACUGGUUCAUUUACGUCGUCGCCAUUUCGGUGGUCAUAGGGUACAUCGGUCUUCCCUUGGUUCUGUUUCCUGGUGCCAGAAAUCUCUCCCUGAUUCAUGUUGGGCGAGUAUAGUAACUCGUUGGAGAUGAGAGAAUUCCAAAUCUCUGCUCUGCGAUCUCCGGCCUCCAUUUUUUUUUCAUUCACCUUCACUUCUUUUCUGUUCAUGUUGGCGACCAGAUUGGGAGGGGUAUCUGCGUUCUACCUCCCUGUUCACACGCCCAGAAUCUCCUUCUGUUUGCUGUUGCCAUUGCUAAGGGGAUCUGAAGAAAAGAAAUCUUGAUUGAAGUAGUAAGGAAGGUUUGUUUGAAGCGUUAAAGGGUGAAUUUUUAUGCUUGGGAAUAUUGCAGAUACGUUAGCUGAUGUUGUGCCUUCCGCUAAUCCUUGAGGGGCUGAAAUAUUCAGUUGAGAUCAAACUUCUUUUAAGUAAAUUUCUUAUGUCAGGUGCUCCAUAUAAACUAUAGUUAGGG